UUUAGACCGCGAUCCUCUGCUUCAUCUUAUCCAAACUCCCCCUCUCCAGCGACGGCGGAUCACAAGCAGGUGAGGGGCGGCGCCGUGCUCCCCGACUUCUGCCUCCAUCCCAUCUUCGCGCCGUCGUUCGUCCGCACGGACGCCGGCGGCUACCGCGCCCCGGAGGUGCUGGACACGCGGCGGCCCACGCUGAAGGCAGACGUCUACUCCCUGGGCGUGCUCCUGCUGGAGCUCCUCACCGGCAAGUCCCCUACUGCAGGAGGGUGUCGGCGGCACGCUGGACCUGCCCGGUUGGUGCAGUCGGUGGCGCGCAAGGAGUGGAUGGCCGAGGUGUUUGACGUGGAGCUGGUGUGGCUGGGCGCCAGCGCCGAGGAGGAGAUGGCCGCGCUGUUGCAGGCACCGGCAGAGCUACGGCAUAGAGGCAACAACUCGAAACUCCACGGUCUGCAUGCAGCAACACAACGCCACGUUCUGCAUGCGGCAUGAGCAGCUCCACUCACGAUUCAAAUUAUGCAGCUGUAUAGGAUAAUCCCUUUUGUUUAGGUUUCCAAUAUUUUUCAGUUCAAUUCAGUUGCAGAUUCAUCCAACUCAUCUCCAUUGCCACACACGAAUAGGCUUAGAUUUUGAUUUUUGUUCAGUUUCGUUCAGAUUUUCAUUAUUCCAAUUUUGAUUUUGGUUCAGUUUUGGUCAGGUUUUCAUUAUUUUUCAGUUGAAUUCAGUUGCCGAUUCAUCCAACUCAUCUCCAUUGCCAUGCACAGAAAGGCUUAGAUUUCAUUUUGGGUCAGUUCAGUUCAGAUUUUCAUUAUUUUUCAGUUGGGUUCAGUUUCACAUUCAUCCAACUCAUCUGGGAACACAAUGAUAAGUGUCUCUCUCUCGUUGGUGAGGUAACCUGGGCAGUGCUGUUUGAGACCGUUGGUGAGGGACUACUACGGCGAGCUCGGCAUGAGCAAAGAUGCCGGCAGGGUGAGAUCAAGAACAAGAACUGAAUGUUGUUCCCGAUGGAAUGCUGGUCAUAGAUGCCAUGCGGCGGACUCCCGCAGCCGCAGCAGAGGAGCCGGAACUUGCAGCAACAUCUACGACACCCUCCCAACGAGCUGGAGGUAGGAAAUGUCGUACAUGAUGGCCUGACGACAACCACUAGAAAUAUUGAGUUUUUUUAGGGAAUGUUGAUGAUUUAGUCCGGAGAUUAUGUUUCUACUUGAUCAUCAAACAAGGUGUCCGCUGGGCGCAAGUAUAACCUAUCAAGGUGUUCGCGCAGUGUAGUCAAAUGGCAAUACAAGUUAUGGCUACAAUGCUGCCAACGGCUACUACGGUGUCUUUACCGCUUCUGGAAUAUUGAACGAUCCAUCAAAGCACCUUCCGAGGUGUUGCAUAGAGCAUGCCGUUGAACAUGAAGGGUUUGAGCUAAGAAAUACUUGCAGACUGCCAAUGUAUUAAUGGUUAGGCAUUUUUGGAUUUAUCAUGUUUACAUGCUUACCAGGGUAACCAUAGCGGCUUCAUUGCACCAUACCCGAAACUGAGAUCUUUGGGACGGUGCGAGGUGCUACUGGACCAGUAGAUACAGUGAUUACCUGUCCAGGCAGCGCUCACAUCAUCCUGCGCUAGCUCCUCGACUUGGACGACAACAGUUGUUGAUGAAGUCUACUCAGCCAUCGCCAUGCUAUUGUUAGUAAAUCAAGCAUUCUUUUCAAGAAUAUUGUUCCACGUACAUGAGAAUAAUGUCCCGGGUUGAAGAAAAAAUAAUUAUACAUGUCAAUUUUGAAAAUAUAAGAUGCGUCUUUGGAUAAUGAUUGCUCAAGGUAGCUGAAUAAACCUGCAAUCACCAUAA